rnacentral:rRNA from 1 species
AAUCAACGCUGGCGGCGUGCCUCAGACAUGCAAGUCGAACGAUUAAAGCUCUCUUCGGAGAGUGUAUAGAGUGGCGCACGGGUGAGUAACACGUAAGUAAUCUACCUUCGAGUGGGGAAUAACACCGAGAAAUCGGUGCUAAUACCGCAUAAUGCAGCGGCAUCGCAAGAUGACAGUUGUUAAAGAUUUAUCGCUUGAAGAGGAGCUUGCGGCAGAUUAGCUAGUUGGUAAGGUAAUGGUUUACCAAGGCUACGAUCUGUAACCGGUCUAAGAGGACGGUCGGUCACACUGACACUGAAUAACGGGUCAGACUCCUACGGGAGGCAGCAGUCGGGAAUUUUGGGCAAUGGGCGAAAGCCUGACCCAGCAACGCCGCGUGAAGGAUGAAGUAUUUCGGUAUGUAAACUUCGAAAGAAUAGAAGAAUAAAUGACGGUACUAUUUAUAAGGUCCGGCUAACUACGU